GUGAUUUCUUCACUCUCCCUUACAAAUACGCUAUUUGUAAUACCUAUCUUCUCCAAUCUAGGUGUUUGAAAAAUGUCUGUAACUUGUGUGGGCUAGAAUGCAUUUUGUUUUUAUACAGGUGUAUUCAUUUAGCCAGGGUCACCUCUGAGGACCUAUGAAAAACUGCUGGGCGUCUUUGCAAAUCAUCUCUCUGCAGUGACCAUGUCUUAAUCCUUAAGGAAAACAAGAUCUCGCAGUUUCUGAAAGACAAAUCUUUCUUCUUACUUGGUAUAGAUAUUCUGAAACUUAGUGCUUGUUCUGGCCCGAAUCAUGACAAAAGUAAGUGGUCUUGGUUUGACAUUUUUGUCUGUCAUUGCUGAUGGGCCAAAUGUCUAAUUUAUCAUACAUUGAUUAAAGUAGCUGCAUAUUCAUAGCACCUUUUUAAUAUGCCUUUCUUAUACCUAACAUAAACAUAUGAUUAUUUUCUUAAAAUUUCAUAUAGUAGUGUUAUUCAACAGAAAUACAAUGUUAACCAUCCAUGUAAGUUUAAACGCUAUAUAAGAUAUUUAUAUUACGUGAUAGAUAUGAUUCUAAGAAGUAACCAUAUUCCCCUAAUGACUUUAAAUACUCAAAUAGCCAUUUACAGGAACAAAAAGCAAUAGAUCACACUGAUUUAAACAAUCAAUUAUAUUUAACUAAAGAAUCAUGUAUUCAAAACAUUGCAUUUUUAACCUGUAGAUACAAAAUUACUAGUAAUGUGUCUAACAUUCUUUUUUUUCUUGCUAAAGUUUUUAAAUCCAGAGUGAAUGUUAUACUUCCACACAAUCUUUCUAGGACAAUACGUGUGCUGAACCCAAUACAUUACAAUUUAUCUGCUCUGUUGCCCAUUAUUUUACCUUUUCCAAUACCCAGUUUCUUUACUUUAUAAUGCCAAUAUUUUGCUUGCUUUUUUUGCAUCAUGCGAAUGCUGUGGUUUAGAUAUAGUUUGUCCUCCCAAAGGUUUACAUGCUAUCAUCUAGGUCCUCAAUGAAGUAGUGAAAAUUUGGAGCCAUGGAGCCCGAAGGGCAAUCAUCGAACCACAGGAGUAUCCCUUUGGAACUUCCUGUAAUGACUUGGGCAAAGCAGGAGAAAAUUGCCUAAGUUUGCAUCCCUGCCACCUACACGGAAGACCCAGCUGAAGCCACUGAAUCCUGGCCAAUCCAAGCCUGGGAUAUUGCAGCCAUCUUGGGGAGUGAAACAGCAGGCAGUUCCAGGGCCAGGUGACAUGAGCCCUGCAGGGUGCCCUAUUCCUGGGGAUCAUAGACCUGGCACCCACCUCACAGGCAGACCCCAGGACCUGGGCCAGGUGACUUGAGCCCUGCUGGAUCCAAGAAUGAGGCAACCAUAUAUGUAGGUGAGAAACGACUCCUGAGAGACUCUGAAUGAAAGGGUCACAAUGCUUACAGGUAAGUGAGGAGGUUGACACCCAGUGGUGUAGAGGAGAGAGACCAGAUCUAUAAGGGUCAGACAGAGGCACCCAUCCACAUGUGAGUCCUGAGUUGGGCUUGUUAAUAUGGAACAUUGCUAAUCACCACAUGCCAGUCCACAUGAAAUGAUGCUGGAGGUGUGUCUGGCAGUGAUAGAUUUCAGAACCCAACUGCAUGUCACG